GCCAGCAUGGUGUUGUGGUUUGGGCAUUUGAUUAAGACUCCGCAGACCAGGGUUCAAAUCCCUGCUCGGCCA